rnacentral:rRNA from 1 species
ACUCCUACGGGAGGCAGCAGUGGGGAAUCUUAGACAAUGGGGGAAACCCUGAUCUAGCCAUGCCGCGUGAGUGAUGAAGGCCCUAGGGUCGUAAAGCUCUUUCGCCAGGGAUGAUAAUGACAGUACCUGGUAAAGAAACCCGGCUAACUCCGUGCCAGCAGCCGCGGGUAAUACGGGAGGGGGUUAGCGUUGUUCGGAAUUACUGGGCGUAAAGCGCGCGUAGGCGGAUUAGUCAGUCAGAGGUGAAAUCCCAGGGCUCAACCCUGGAACUGCCUUUGAUACUGCUAGUCUUGAGUUCGAGAGAGGUGAGUGGAACUCCGAGUGUAGAGGUGAAAUUCGUAGAUAUUCGGAAGAACACCAGUGGCGAAGGCGGCUCACUGGCUCGAUACUGACGCUGAGGUGCGAAAGCGUGGGAGCAAAC